GUGAUUUGUGUCCUUAGGAAAACAGUGAAGUUAUCAGUGAAAGAGAAGAACAGACAGAAUGUUUCACAUCAAUGCAGGAAAACAAUGAAGAUAGCAGCCAAAGAGAAGAGCAAACAGAAGAACCCUACACAUUGGCAGAGGACAGAAAUAUCCAUUCCCAUGGAUUAACCGAAGAGCAAAGCUGCAUCUCAAUACUAUCCUUAGCACUGAAACACAACACUACAG